rnacentral:rRNA from 1 species
AGUGAACGCUGGCGGUAGGCCUAACACAUGCAAGUCGAACGGCAGCACAGUAAGAGCUUGCUCUUACGGGUGGCGAGUGGCGGACGGGUGAGGAAUACAUCGGAAUCUACUUUUUCGUGGGGGAUAACGUAGGGAAACUUACGCUAAUACCGCAUACGACCUACGGGUGAAAGCAGGGGAUCUUCGGACCUUGCGCGAUUGAAUGAGCCGAUGUCGGAUUAGCUAGUUGGCGGGGUAAAGGCCCACCAAGGCGACGAUCCGUAGCUGGUCUGAGAGGAUGAUCAGCCACACUGGAACUGAGGCACGGUCCAGACUCCUACGGGAGGCAGCAGUGGGGAAUAUUGGACAAUGGGCGCAAGCCUGAUCCAGCCAUACCGCGUGGGUGAAGAAGGCCUUCGGGUUGUAAAGCCCUUUUGUUGGGAAAGAAAAGCAGCAGGUUAAUACCCCGCUGUUCUGGCGGUACCCAAAGAAUAAGCACCGGCUAACUUCGUG